rnacentral:tRNA from 1 species
AGCCCUGGGGUGUUGGACACAUCAGAUUGCAAAUCUGAAGGCGCAGGCUAAUCGCCUGCUGGGGCUU